AACAAGACACCUCAUUUGCCUUCGCGGAAUCCUACGGGGAUAUAUCGAUCACUUAGUACAUGCCAAAACAUGAUGGGGGAGGCGAGAAAAAGAAAGAAAAAUGAAAAAAAAAAGGAAAAAAAAAGAAAAUAAAAGAGAAAGACAAUAAAAAUCAUCAAUCAUAUUGCAUUAGCAUAUUGCAUACGCCAUGCAUAUCAAACCCCUCAUAAAGAUCCAUCUACCAAAUAACAUUC
rnacentral:lncRNA from 1 species